AAUCAUCAUUUGUAUAUUUAGAGAGAGUAAUUAUUUUAAUUUCAAAACAUAAUUUUAGGCAAAGGAGAAAGAGAAUGCAAAAACUCAGUCCUUAGAAACAAAAAAAGAACUAGAAGAAUGUCAAAGGCAUUUAUCUCAGGGGAAUAACAGAUUAAAAGAGUUAGAAGCACAACUUAAUUUGUCAAAAGAUACAAUAGCUCGUCUUGAAUCUGAAAGAACAGAACUGUGUG